rnacentral:rRNA from 1 species
GGAAAAGAAACCAACAGGGAUUGCCCUAGUAACGGCGAGUGAAGCGGCAACAGCUCAAAUUUGAAAUCUGGCCUUCGGGUCCGAGUUGUAAUUUGCAGAGGAUGCUUUUGGCGCGGUGCCUUCCGAGUUCCCUGGAACGGGACGCCUUAGAGGGUGAGAGCCCCGUACGGUUGGACACCAAGCCUCUGUAAAGCUCCUUCGACGAGUCGAGUAGUUUGGGAAUGCUGCUCUAAAUGGGAGGUAAAUUUCUUCUAAAGCUAAAUAUUGGCCAGAGACCGAUAGCGCACAAGUAGAGUGAUCGAAAGAUGAAAAGCACUUUGAAAAGAGGGUUAAAUAGCACGUGAAAUUGUUGAAAGGGAAGCGUUUGCGACCAGACCUCUUCAUGGCGGAUCAUCCGGUGUUCUCACCGGUGCACUUCGCCACGUCGAGGCCAGCAUCGGUUUCUGUAGGGGGAUAAAAGCUCUGGGAACGUAGCUCCUCCGGGAGUGUUAUAGCCCUCUGCAUAAUACCUUUACGGGGACCGAGGACCGCGCUUUAUUGCAAGGAUGCUGGCGUAAUGGUCGUCAACGACCCGUCUUGAAACACGGACCAAGGAGUCGAACAUUUAUGCGAGUGUUUGGGUGUUAAACCCUCACGCGUAAUGAAGGUGAACGCAGGUGAGAGCCCUUACGGGUGCAUCAUCGACCGAUCCUGAUGUCUUCGGAUGGAUUUGAGUAAGAGCAUAGCUGUUCGGACCCGAAAGAUGGUGAACUAUGCGUGGAUAGGGUGAAGCCAGAGGAAACUCUGGUGGAGGCUCGCAGCGGUUCUGACGUGCAAAUCGAUCGUCAAAUCUGCGCAUGGGGGCGAAAGACUUAUCGAACCAUCUAGUAGCUGG